rnacentral:lncRNA from 1 species
UGGGCUUUUAUGUGCUUUUUACCUAAUGACUAUGAUAAAAUCUAUGAUAUUCAUGUACUAACACCUGUCCUGGGCUAUGUGACCAUGGACAACACCUAUAAUGCAGCUAGUUUGUAGGAACUAUAGACUCAGCUAAUUCUAUUCUGUAUCUCUAGGCUAUAUUCUAUAUCUACAAGCUGGAUCUAUAUCUCUUCCAUAUCUAUAGGCUCAGAUAAUUCCAGACGUACAUGCAGAGGUUGGAACCCCCUUGCACAGUGACUCAUGAUCCCACAGGUUAGUGCUGAGGACAG